rnacentral:lncRNA from 1 species
UCACACUCAGAGAGCUGUUUGUCCUCAUGCACACAUAUAAUCUCUUUUAUGAAUCCCUGAUCUUAAAAUUUAUUAACUGAAGUAGGCGGUCGUCUCUGCUCUUCUUAAUAACAACUUUUUCUGCAGCUUCCUCUGAUGUCAUUUUCUUAUCUAAUAAAAGUCUAUAUUUCAUCAACCUUUUUUCUUUACCUAAAAGCCUCCUUCUAUUCACAAUGGGGGAAUGGCAAGGAAUCCUGUACUUGAAGUAAAAAUAUCCACUUUCUAAAUACAACUUGACCUCUUCCUUUCUGUGACCUUUGAGGCUCAUUCCUCCCUCCCUCUGGGCUUGGUUUUUCCCUUUGCUGAAAGAGGGAGGUCAGAUUAGUUUAUACCCGGGAUCCAAUUCUACCAUGCACCCAUGCAUGAUCUUACCACCUGGGAGAGCUCUAUAAAAAGAACUUGCUGGCCGGGCGCGGUGGCUCAAGCCUGUAAUCCCAGCACUUUGGGAGAGACCAUCCUGGCUAACACGGUGAAACCCCGUCUCUACUAAAAAAAAAAAUACAAAAAACUAGCCGGGCGAGGUGGCGGGCGCCUGUAGUCCCAGCUACUCGGGAGGCUGAGGCAGGAGAAUGGCGUGACCCCGUGAGGCAGAGCUUGCAGUGAGCCAAGAUCUGGCCACUGCACUCGACAGAGCAAGACUCCAUCUCAAAAAAAAAAAAAAAAAAAAGAGAAAGUGAGUGGACUUUAGUGACUGCCUUGAAGAGAAUGUCAUAGGAAUGCCAUUGUAUGGUUUCUGAGGCUGAGUUGGAAAAGGACUCACAGAUUCCCCCAUCUCUCUCUGUUGGGAAUCUACCUGCGAAGCUCUGUACCAAUAUCUCAGAAGGCUGACUGCCCUGCAGCUACCAGGCUGGAAAAGCCACAUAGAGGUAGAGGGAGAAUGAAAUGCUCACAGAGUCCCAGCUAGUGCAGCCUCCAGCUGGUUAAGUCUUUCCAGUCCCGACCUGUAAGUCUGCAAACCCUUAUGGAUUCCAGUCCUAGGUCUGAAGCUUCCCUGCUGACGGUGAGUGGAGCCAUCGCUGCUGAGCCCUGCACUAACUG